AGAAUUUAAUUUUUCUCUUAAAUUGUAACCCAAUACUUUGUCAUUUAAUGUGAGUUCACAAAAAUAUAGAGUUUGAUAAGAUAUAAUAUCUAAUCACUGUAAGAAUGCUUUGAAACCAUAAGGUUCUGAUAAGAGGCCUUUAUAUCGCUGAUCGAUAACACUAAAGCUUCAGUUUCAAAUAUAAAAGUGGAGGAACAAGACGUACUUAAUUGAGUGAACUAAUCAGUGUAGGAAGAAUGUUAAAUAAAAGUGUAGUUUUGUCAACUAUCGUGGUUGUUCUUAUUUCUAUAACUAAAGCAGAAGAAACGACAUGGACUAGGAUCGGAUUAAAUAAAAUAUUUUACAAGAAGCACGAUGAGGUCACUGUUAGUUGUAGCUGUGAAGGCCCAGAACUUUGCACAAACAUUGAGUGGACUUAUAUGAAUCUGGAUGGAAUGUAUAGCAAGAAGAGACUAGAUAAUUAUACACUUGUGACUGAGGAGUCUGCUGAGAAGAAAAUAGAACAAGUGCGCUUUGAAGCUACAGAGUCAUUCACGAUUUCAUGUACUUUCUUCUUCCCAACCUAUGACCCUAACACAAUAACUAAAUACGCCUACGUGAGCAAUUUGGAUGAAAUAAUGAAGAUAGAAGUACUUCCUAAUCCUAUAUUGGCCAAGGGAGAAACACUAGAGCUUUCUUGUAUAGCUGACAAAGUUCUCUUCCACUCAGUUAACUGGUUUAAGAACAAUGAGUUGAUAAUUGUGAAGAACAGAACAAGUUUUUCUUUAGUGGAAACUCUCAAAACAAAUGAAACAAUUUUAAAAAUUACGGAUAUUGAAAGGGAAGAAUCAGGAAAGUUCGAAUGUCGAGCAGAAGGAAAAGAAAGUAUUUUCAAUGGCCAAAAAUAUCAACAAAAUAGAUCUGUUAAUAUACUUGUAUUAGACUGGAUUGCAAGAUCAGCUGACCAGAAGAUACUUAACAAAGCCUUGAACGAGUCAAUGGAGUUUACUGAAUUCAGUCGGAUUAUCGAAAAAACAUCAGACAGAAUUGAUAAUGAGGCUGAGAAGCCUCAAACUUCAAUACAAAUUUCUACAAUAGUUGUAAUCGUUGUAAUACUCGUGCUACUAUUAAUAAUACUAGGAAUUGCUGCCUUCUUUAUUUUGAGAAGAGUUUUAAAGAAAAACACACAAAAUGCAUAUGAUAAUCGUACAUACGAAUUAAUAGAAUGUGAACAAACGCCAAUAAGUUACAAACAUCCAGAUAUUAUUCCUGGGCCAGAAGAUGCCGAAAGCUCUUCUCAACGACACACAAACACAGUGAGUACAACGCUCGAAAUGGAUUCCAUUGAUUGGCUUCUAUAUAGACAGUCAUCACUAAUUAAAACAAAGAGUCGUGCUGCAAUUUAUGGAAAAGACUUUUCCGAUAAAAAUGAAGGAAUAGACAAUGCAAAUGUGGAAGAUAUUCGCAGUGUGACGAGUGAAGAACCAAUAAAAUCCUAUUCAAACUACAUUCGAAGAUCAGCAGCAAUUUUGCAGCGAGCAAAGAGUAUCGGGAUCAAAAGCCAAGUUCUGGAUGAAUACAAAGAUCUUUGCAUGAAGUAUGAGUUUCCCAUGAGAAACCUUAAGUUUGUUCAGGAUUUGGGCUCAGGUGCUUUUGGGUACGUGAAGUUAGCGUACGCUGAUGGCUUGAUUCCGGGAGAAAAAACUGCAGUCGCCGUAAAAGGCACAAAAGGCGAUGACAAGAAAAUGAAAGAAGCUCUUCUGGCUGAGAUUAAAGUCAUGGUGCACAUUGGCUUGCACAAAAAUGUCGUGAAUCUUCUAGGGAUUCUCACAGUGAAUAUCAAUAAAGGUGAAUUCAUGAUUAUGGUAGAAUAUUGUGCACUUGGGAAUAUCCGUGAUUAUUUAAGAGAAAAUAAGACGCUGUUUUUCAAUGACAAUCCUUCUGAAUCUGGAUCUCUUCCGCUCUUAAUGGACCAUCAAGCAACCAAGUUGACAAUGCCUGAACUGCUAAGUUGGUCUUUCCAAGUUACACGAGGAAUGGAUUUCCUGGCAUCCAAGAGAGUCAUCCAUGGCGACUUGGCUGCAAGAAACAUUCUUCUCUGUCACGAUAAUUUCGUCAAGAUUUGCGACUUUGGUCUGGCUCGAUUUAAGCAGGAAAAUAAUUUAUACAAAAAGCGAAGCAGCGCUCCUCUGCCCUUCAAGUGGAUUGCAUUGGAGUCGAUUGAGGAUGGCAUUUUCAGCACUUACUCAGAUAUUUGGUCCUUUGGCGUUGUUUUGUGGGAAAUCUUCUCAUUCGGCGAAGAACCUUAUCCAGAAAUUAAACUAACAGAUAUCUGCAUGAAGCUCAAAACUGGAUACAGAAUGAACAAACCUCAACAUGCUAAUCAAGCAUUGUACAACAUUAUGUUGAAUUGUUGGAGUGAAAAUCCACAAGAAAGACCACAAUUUGGUGAAUUGGAACUAAAGCUUGGGAAAUUGUUGAACAAGAUGCAAAGAUAUUUGGUCGUGUCAUCAAAUGAGCCCUACGUGAUUAUUAAUAGAGGAGUGGAGCAGCAUUUAGGAAUCGUAGGUUAAUUUACAUGUUAAGUACUGAACUAAAUUGUACCUCGAAAGCGUUGAAAAAUUCUGACAAAAUAAGAAAGUAUAAAAAAUAUUGACACCGUUUGUUCACUUUAAUCGAUUUAGGAUCAAGUCAAAAUCUAUCUUUAUCGCACAGCAUUCGAUAAUGACCCUGACUCUGUUCGGAUGCGAAGUGAUAUGAAAUCUCUGGAGAAUGUCUAAGUGAUGCUAAUUGAAUUAGAAACGCCCAUAUUCAAUUGAGUAACAUCGGCGACAGGGCUCGAGUGUUGCGGCUUUUCUCUCUCGUGUAGACUGAAGUGGACACUUUGGCUGAGAAAUGUACUAUUUCAAUAAAAUUACAUCGAAAAACGAUAAGGAAGGCAGCUUUAUUUUGGAAACCGGCAGAAGCAUGGAAAAUUUCCUCCAAGACAGCGCCAAGUUGUUCUCAAAAGACGGAGCUGAUGACAAUGGGAGUCCCCAGAAGGAGUCCAGCGUGGCUGAAGCAGCGCCCUCGUCACAGGAAUCUGUGAUUCCUCUGGCAGACGACAACCUUCUGGU